CCCUUAGAUGUUCUGGGCGGCCCGCGCACUACAUUGGCACUAGCAAAGAGAUCCUAGAUUGAAUUCUUUGGGGUAUUCUUCUAAAUGGUGUCGUGACUGGGGUAAAUCCUUGUAAUUAUUGGUUUUGAACGAGGAAUUCCUUGUAAUCGCGGUUUAUCAGCUCGCGUUGAAUGCGUCCCUGCCCUUUGUACACACCGCCCGUCGCUCCUACCGAUGGAUCGUCCGGUGAAGCUCACGGAGUGACUGUUCACGCAACGGUUUACGAAGUGAAAUGGACCUCACGAUUUAGAGGAAGGAGAAGUCGUAACA
rnacentral:rRNA from 1 species